UAUAUAUAUAUAUAUAUAAAGGGAAAUGUGACAGUUGGAGUGUUGCUAUAAAUAUUAUAUAUUUUUAUUUAAUUUAGCGUCAAUGAAUGUGCCGAAUGAGUUGAUCUGGUCAGUAGCUGGAGAUGUGGGACUGGCAUCGGUCACAGAGGGGCGCAGUAGAGCUGGACUUUACUGCUGGUCCUUCAGAAUGGUUUUGUUUUCUCCCUCCGUUAGGCGACAGAUGUUUCUCUGCUAGAUUUCCACUCGUUCUAAAUGAGCUCUUUUAAACAAAACCUUAUAAUUCAACAGUUAAGCAUCGUAUCCUUACUGCAAUCUCUUUACAGAGCACAGUCUAAAUGCUGAGUCUCAGGUUUAUUAUUAUGCAAAUAAAAAAAACAUUUACAAGGUUAUAAGUGAUGGAAUUGUAAUUCUGCAAUUCAUGAAAGAGUUGUAUACUAUGUUAUAUAUUUGUGAGCUGCUUUGUUUCUCUGUCACUGUUGACACUGGUUAUUAUUUUAUGUGGUGAUUUUGCCACAACUGCCAAACAUCUGUAUCUCUCUCUUAACUCAAAUCUUCGCUGUUUUCCCAACACUACAUGCUAAAUAUCAAUGUAAAUAUUCAAUAAAGGUACUUCAUACGCAUCGUUUGGUGUCAUGUGCUUCUCACCUCUGCAUUUCCUCCUUUCCUCCUGCUGAGUUUCUGCUCUGACGUGACUCAGGAGAUGAGACGUACCAGGACAUCUUCCAAGACUUCUCGCAGAUGGCAUCGAACGACCCUGACAAACUCAACCGCUACUGAGCAGAUUCUGGAUGCUAUAUCACACCACAGCAACCUCCUCAUAACUGCCGUUUGAGAUUGAUUUUUUUUUUUUUUUUUUUUUAAAUAUGAUUAAAAUUAAAUGUUUUAAUUUUUAGGUUUUGUCUUAAUUGACAAUUUUUUAUGAAAUCAGUGUUGUUGACACUUGUUGAAUUUUUAUUGUAAAUGUAGAUAAAACUAUUUCAUGUAGGAUUUAAUGGAUGAAUCCGCUGGCUGUAUCUAUAUAGAUUUUCAGAUGAAUAUGUGUAAUGUUAUAUUUGAGCCAUAGGACUUCAUUUAUGAGACGUGCUGAAUGAAUUUGUGUUCGUGAAUGCGACAAAUUCCUUCUGCUCGUGUUUCACAAAUGAGGGUUUUUAGCUAAACAGUACAUUUUAGUAAAUUGCAUUGGUGUAUGGUUGUAGAGCGAGGAUGAAAGGUCACAAUUAUAAAAACUAUACUUUCAUUACAUCAUUUACUUGUUCGUUUUCGAAGGAGAAAAUCUUGUGAAAACUCGUUUUAGCAUGAACGCCCCACUUUCUUUAUAUGUCCAAACAGUAUAAAAGUGUAAGGGGUGUAAAUUGUGUAUAUUCUGUACAUAUGUUAUCUUGGGCUGGGAAGUUGAUUUUGUGGUACUUCAAAUGUUGUAUUAAGCUCGAUUUUUGUGCUGUUUUUGCCCCUGUAUUCAUUCUGUAAUCAUCUCUGUAUGAUCCAUGCAGUUUUUAUCCACUGUGAAUGUCUGACUUAAAAUAUAUUAUAAAUUGUUUUCUCUA